rnacentral:lncRNA from 1 species
AUAAUCUCUCUCUCUCUCUCUAAUUGAAAAGAGCUCAGCAGCCUCAGCUUCAAAACCCAAAAUCACGGUCACAGCAAUGUCAUCACUUAAAUUGUAAGGCUGAGACAAGUCGUCUGUGCUGGAAAAGCAACAGCCAGCCUGAGAUGGUGGACUACACACUACCAAUUUUCCUCAUAUUUUGACGAACCGACCUGUUCAAACCGGAUCCCUUCAAGCUCAUUGGCCGUCUGCGUGGGCCUAGAACGCCGUCGGUUCGUUUUCCCGACUCGGUUCUAAAACUUGUCAAUUUUCGUUGACAUCCUACGGAAGGCGUCGGAGGAAUUCGGGUUCUCGACAACAUGUGUUGCCAAUUUUCUGAGAAACCUUGAAAGUACUUGAAAGUGAUGAAGAAAAAUUUGGUGUGCUGGGUUUGGGGAAGUUGUUAAAGCUCUUUCCUGAAGUGGUUAGUGAAUCUUUUGACCAUUUUUCUUGUAAAAAUUCUUCUUACCACGACUUCACUCCAUUGCUGCAGAAGAUUAAGGAAGGCUAAGGUAAUAUGAACUUUAAGGGAUUUCGUAUAUGAUAUAGGACUAAUAAUGUUGGUUUAUUUCCUCUUGUAACCAUCCUUGGGACGAGAGAGUAGGAUUAGGUUUCUGGUUACUCAAUGAGAUGUUCGAUUUUUCACUUAUUUUAGGGUUUCUUUUUUGGGUGAUUUUAAUUUAGAUUGUGAUGAUGAAGAAAAUAUUAUGAGAUUAAUGGAAGUUCUGGCUGAGAUUGUUAUGAAAUUUUAAACUCUGAAACAUUUUUAGGUUCAUUGCUGUAUUAUUUACAUGUUUAGACGUUUUAAUAUAUUUUUUUUCUGCCCCUAAUUUAGACGUUCUUUGGUUACCAAUGUUCAUUGUUCUUCUACUAGUAUUCUAAUCAUUUUUACUGCAUUUCUUUUAAUUCUUCUAAUUUUUAAGGUACGUUGUAGAAGUAUCAGAAAUUGAGGCGUAGAGCUGCCACUGUGAUUAGGACAAACGAAGCAUAGUGGAGCAGGACUCCGCAAGGGGAGCUAAAAUUGGACUCUUAGCAUGGUAAGGACAUUUAGCCUCAAGCUUACAAAAAAAGGUUAAGGUCCCCUACAUUGGCCAUGGGUGGCCCAAAAGGCUAAUAAAGAGGUCAAGGACAUUGGGCCCGGGCUAUAUCAUCCAUUCCAUGGACAUAAGUUGGACGCGAUGCAUGAGCAUGAGCAGUCAGUGACUCAUGGCCAUCCAUGUCGGAUGUAGGAGUUAAAUGGCAUCAUCAGGUAUUAUUCUUACAUCGUCAUGAAAGAUAAUGCGAUAGCAAUAGCUAUCAUACUUGUAGUUUAAAUGGACAUGUUAGUGUUUUAUGAAUAAGUAAAAUAUAUGCUGUGAUCUUAUUAUUUGUGUGUGUGUAUGUGUUUUAGUCGUUUUUUAGUCACAACUCAUUGCAUUGAAAAAUCAGGGCACACAAAUGGUGCCAAAAAUGAGGAAUGCAAUCAAUCCAACUGUGGAUAGCUGGAGAAGAAGUAGCAUAACUAGCUAGAUUGUGGACCUCUUUAUUCCAUUAUGAGGAAUGAAGCCACACGAACCACAUUCAACAACUUAAACAAGUGCUACAAUAAUUAAGCAAACUAGAGCAUUAAAGGACAAACUUUUACCAGAGACAAACCCACGUAGGACCCAAUAACCGCUUCAUUCCAUGGACUCACAUUUCUUCUCAAAGUGCCGAAUGAGCUUAUCAACCCUAAUUCAGAAUCCGAGCUCUCCUAGUCCCUUAGGUUUACAUAGCGUAUCCCAUUUCACAUUUGCCAUUUUCCUCCACCCUUAUUCAGAAUCCCACCAUAAUAGUUGAAAAAUAACUUAUUGCAAAGAGACUCAGGCAUUUUAGAUAUAAACAGUAUAUACGUUGGGAUAGAUUGCAAAAUCGCCUUAACCAAGACCUCUUGAUCCUGUGGAGAAUAAACACUGUUUUAAGCCUUGCACCCUCAUAUGUACCCUUCCUUUCAAUUGCUCAAAGUUACCCUUUUAUUCUUCCCAACAAUGAAAUCCAUUCUUAAGCAUCUUUCAUGAGGCCUAGCUUCUCCAAAUUAACCACUUGACAUGAUGUCCUCUCGUAUAUUGAAAGUUUAUUCAGGGCAGCUUGACAAUCCGAGGUUCUAGCAUGAGAAAGUACAAUGGAGUGAUGCGUGAAAAACAUGUAACUGGCUGCCCUUGAGCACUCUACUUCCACAAUCUCACCCUCAACCUCUACCUUAUAAAAGAGAGGGACUCUGUACACAGGAUGAAGAGAUAUGGGAAUAAUAGACAGCCCUUCCGAAGCCCCUGCCGUGGAUGACUCUCUUCCUAGGAGCCUCAUUGAAAUUGAACUUAAAUUUGGCCAUUGAGAUCAUGUAAUCACCAAAUUCACCCAGCCACUAGGAAAUUCUAUUUUCUCCAUAACACAGCCUACAAACACACACUUCACUCGGUCAUAAACUUUACUCAUGUCGAGCUUAAGCAGCUUGAAGGCUUACUUCCAUUACUCUUCUUACCAAUGAAUGUACCAAAUCCUGAG